rnacentral:tRNA from 1 species
GGGCGUGUGGCGCAGUGGUAGCGCGUCCGCUUUGCACCAGUCAGAUGAGCUUGCGGAAGGGCUAGGUAAGGGAAUCCACGCCUUUACUCCGGGAAUUGAGGCUAACAUGUCGAAGGGUUCGAUCCCCUACUCGUCCA